rnacentral:rRNA from 1 species
GUAGUCCACGCCCUAAACGAUGUCAACUAGUUGUCGGAUCUAUAUAAAGAUUAGGUAACGUAGCUAACGCGUGAAGUUGACCGCCUGGGAAGUACGGUCGCAAGAUUAAAACUCAAAGGAAUUGACGGGGACCCGCACAAGCGGUGGAUUAUGUGGAUUAAUUCGAUGCAACGCGAAAAACCUUACCUACCCUUGACAUGCUCGAAAUCUUGCAGAGAUGUGAGAGUGCCCGAAAGGGAAUCGAGGCACAGGUGCUGCAUGGCUGUCGUCAGCUCGUGUCGUGAGAUGUUGGGUUAAGUCCCGCAACGAGCGCAACCCUUGUCAUUAAUUGCCAUCAUUAAGUUGGGCACUUUAAUGAGACUGCCGGUGACAAACCGGA